GACGAACGCUGGCGGCGUGCUUAACACAUGCAAGUCGAACGAGAAGCCGUAGCAAUACGGUUGUAAAGUGGCAAACGGGUGAGUAACGCGUGGGUAAUCUACCCUUGGGUGGGGAAUAACUUCCCGAAAGGGGAGCUAAUGCCGACAUGUGCGACACUUUCGCAAGGAGGUGUUGAAAGCCGUAUCGAGGAUACGGCGCCCAAGGAUGAGCUCACGUCCUAUCAGCUUGUUGGCGGGGUAACGGCCACCAAGGCUCCGACGGUAGCUGGUCUGAGAGGACGACCAGCCACACUGGCACUGCGACACGGGCCAGACUCCUACGGGAGGCAGCAGUGAGGAAUAUUGCGCAAUGGACGACAGUCUGACGCAGCGACGCCGCGUGGGGGAUGAAGG
rnacentral:rRNA from 1 species